rnacentral:rRNA from 1 species
UUGAACGCUGGCGGCAGGCCUAACACAUGCAAGUCGAACGGUAACAGGAAGCAGCUUGCUGCUUCGCUGACGAGUGGCGGACGGGUGAGUAAUGUCUGGGAAACUGCCUGAUGGAGGGGGAUAACUACUGGAAACGGUAGCUAAUACCGCAUAACGUCGCAAGACCAAAGAGGGGGACCUUCGGGCCUCUUGCCAUCGGAUGUGCCCAGAUGGGAUUAGCUAGUAGGUGGGGUAACGGCUCACCUAGGCGACGAUCCCUAGCUGGUCUGAGAGGAUGACCAGCCACACUGGAACUGAGACACGGUCCAGACUCCUACGGGAGGCAGCAGUGGGGAAUAUUGCACAAUGGGCGCAAGCCUGAUGCAGCCAUGCCGCGUGUAUGAAGAAGGCCUUCGGGUUGUAAAGUACUUUCAGCGGGGAGGAAGGCGAUAAGGUUAAUAACCUUGUCGAUUGACGUUACCCGCAGAAGAAGCACCGGCUAACUCCGUGCCAGCAGCCGCGGUAAUACGGAGGGUGCAAGCGUUAAUCGGAAUUACUGGGCGUAAAGCGCACGCAGGCGGUCUGUCAAGUCGGAUGUGAAAUCCCCGGGCUCAACCUGGGAACUGCAUUUCGAAACUGGCAGGCUAGAGUCUUGUAGAGGGGGGUAGAAUUCCGGUGUAGCGGUGAAAUGCGUAGAGAUCUGGAGGAAUACCGGUGGCGAAGGCGGCCCCCUGGACAAAGACUGACGCUCAGGUGCGAAAGCGUGGGGAGCAAACAGGAUAGAUACCCUGGUAGUCCACGCCGUAAACGAUGUCGACUUGGAGGUUGUGCCCCUGAGGCGUGGCUUCCGGAGCUAACGCGUUAAGUCGACCGCCUGGGGAGUACGGCCGCAAGGUUAAAACUCAAAUGAAUUGACGGGGGCCCGCACAAGCGGUGGAGCAUGUGGUUUAAUUCGAUGCAACGCGAAGAACCUUACCUACUCUUGACAUCCAGAGAACUUUCCAGAGAUGGAUUGGUGCCUUCGGGAACUCUGAGACAGGUGCUGCAUGGCUGUCGUCAGCUCGUGUUGUGAAAUGUUGGGUUAAGUCCCGCAACGAGCGCAACCCUUAUCCUUUGUUGCCAGCGGUUAGGCCGGGAACUCAAAGGAGACUGCCAGUGAUAAACUGGAGGAAGGUGGGGAUGACGUCAAGUCAUCAUGGCCCUUACGAGUAGGGCUACACACGUGCUACAAUGGCGCAUACAAAGAGAAGCGACCUCGCGAGAGCAAGCGGACCUCAUAAAGUGCGUCGUAGUCCGGAUUGGAGUCUGCAACUCGACUCCAUGAAGUCGGAAUCGCUAGUAAUCGUGGAUCAGAAUGCCACGGUGAAUACGUUCCCGGGCCUUGUACACACCGCC